rnacentral:rRNA from 1 species
UACGAAGGGGGCUAGCGUUGUUCGGAAUCACUGGGCGUAAAGGGCGCGUAGGCGGCUUUGUAAGUCGGGGGUGAAAGCCUGUGGCUCAACCACAGAAUUGCCUUCGAUACUGCAUGGCUUGAGACCGGAAGAGGUAAGUGGAACUGCGAGUGUAGAGGUGAAAUUCGUAGAUAUUCGCAAGAACACCAGUGGCGAAGGCGGCCUACUGGUCCGGUUCUGACGCUGAGGAGCGAAAGCGUGGGGAGCGAACAGG